rnacentral:rRNA from 1 species
UACGUAGGGGGCAAGCGUUGUCCGGAAUCAUUGGGCGUAAAGCGCGCGUAGGCGGCCCGGUAAGUCCGUUGUGAAAGUCAAAGGCUCAACCUUUGAAUGCCGAUGGAUACUGCCGGGCUAGAGUCCGGAAGAGGCGAGUGGAAUUCCUGGUGUAGCGGUGGAAUGCGCAGAUAUCAGGAGGAACACCAAUAGCGAAGGCAGCUCGCUGGGACGGUACUGACGCUGAGGCGCGAAAGCGUGGGGAGCGAACAGG